AUGUGACCUCAAAUCAGGUAGGA
rnacentral:rRNA from 4 species